AGUGUGGACCUCAGCAUCUCCAGGCACGGAGGACUGUUUGUCCUGAGUUGCUGCUGGCGUCGCGGGGCAGGGCGAGGCUGAGGCGGACGUGGGUACGGGGGGGAGGACCCCGCGCAGGCGGCCUCGGAGGGCAGCCCCGCGGGGAUAAGUGCUCCCUCCGGGGAUCACUCAACUGCGGGGAAGAUGGCGAGUGGCGGCCGCGGGGCCCUGGGGCGCGGGCUGAGGACCGCCCCGCUCAGGCCCCGGGUCCUCCGGGCGGCGGACCCCCGCUCUGCCCGCACCAGCGGCUCCGGGAGGCGCCUUCCUAGUCGGGGUUUGUGUCUGAGGAGGACGCCCCCUCACCGGCCAGGCCCCCGCCUCCCCGCAGAGGGCGCUGGACCCGGGCCGGCCCUGCCCUGUGUGGCCCCGCUCAGGGCGCCGCUCCAGGGCUUCCCGGGCCCAAGGCCUGCGGUGUCGGACCCGCAGCCUCCUCAGCCACAGGGUUCGGCUCAGACAGAAAGUCCCGACGGGGAGUGAGAGCCACGGACCCGACCUCCCGCUGCCGGUCGGGCGUCCACGGGACGCGGCCCAGGAGGUCACUGUGCACUUGGCGCUGCAGCCCUCCCCGCGGCAGGACGGACACCGGCCAUGACGCGCUCAGGGACGGCCUUCAGCUCCAGGCCUGUGGCAACAGGGGCGUCCUCGUGGGGCCCGGAGUGUGUCCCGAGCCCGUGGGCCGCCCCGAGCUGCUCUCGGCUCCUGGAUCCAUCAGACAGCAGGUCUGCACACCUGUGUGCACGCCCAUCGGAAUCACUGCAGGUCGGAGCUCCCUCUCUGGAGGCCGCGCUGAGGAAGUUUGAUGACGUCUAUAGAAAGGGAAGCGGAGGCACAGAGGGUGGCAGCCGGCUCACCAUCCUUGCCCUUUUGUAUGACUUCCACCUGGUACAGUCUCUCCGCAUCUCCUACAUGUUGGAAAAACUGACUGGAACUUUCACAGAGAAAGAUAAGGAACUGAUCCUGUUCAGGCUGAGAAAUGGGGAUUUUCAUUGAGAAAACACGAUGCUAUGUCCCUGGCAAUGAUCAGAGAGACCAGGGCAAAGCCAGCGGGGCAGGCAGCACGUUCCAGGACCAGACCAGAGAUGAUGGGUCCCUCGACCUGCCUCCUAAGUGCCUAAGUGCGCAGAUGCUGAGCAGCAGGUAAAAUAAGUGCGUAAAUGCUGUGUGAUGCCCUAGCCAUCUGUUAUCGUCUGCUCCUGGGAUGAAGAUGUUUUUAUCGUGAGUGUGUGAGCAAACCUUAUUCCUUUACUAAAACUCGGGUAUUUUGUGUGUUUAAGAAUUGAUUUAAUUCACACUCAUCUGUUCAACAAAUGUUCACUGAGGAAGGCCGUGUGGCUCGGGGCUCAGGUAUCAACCGACCUGGACUUCUGGCUCAGCAGUGGACAGCAAUGUGACGUUCGCUGUGUGCUGGAAACAAUGUUGGUUCUGAAGAACAGUGGCGUGCAGAGGAUUCCGGGCUGUGAGCCUGAGCCUGUGGAGAAACUGAGGAAAUUGCUAAGAGGGGAAGCGAGUUCCCUGUGGACGUGGACCCAGCGUGGAAGGGUGGGAGGUAGUUGGAGCCGCGAGGCGGGUGCCCGGCCUGGUCAGCACGAGUUGCGAGGGAUCGAAUGGCAGCUGUGUUUCUGCGGUGAGACCCUGGGAGGGGCCCGUGUGCAGUGAGUCCCUGUGAGAUCAGCGUCCCCCACACUUAGCCGGUGGUGCUGGACUCAGCUGUGCAGCAGAAUCACCAUAGACCUUCUGACCACUUUGGAAGAGGGCCCACCAGGACCGGAGGCGUUAGCCCAGCAGGAGAGGGGCUUGUCUGUGUAACCUCCCCAGAAAACUGGAGACGGAGCGCGAAAGAGAAACGCCAAUGAUGAGAACCAUUGAUUGGCUCUCUCCUGGACACCCCGCAUUGGGGAUGGAGGCCACAACUGGGACAUGGGCCCCAACCAGGAAGCCAACCAUAACUGCCUGGUUCUGGUUCAUAGGUUGACACUCAGCCACUGAACCAGGCCGACCAGGCUCGGGUGCCGGCAAUUGACUGGUGGACUUCAGGGGUUCUUAUGUAUGAACUAUUGACAGUCAAUGGGGAGAAUUCCCGAGCUGGGCUCUCUAGGAUCGUGGACACAUCCCCCAGCAGUUCCUUGAGGAGCUGCUGGGGGACAUCAUGGCCCUCGAGGCUGAACAGGUCCAGAGGAGGAACCAGCCCGCCCACCUGAGCUGGGACCUGGAGCUGCUGAUAGAAGCCUGCACGCGGAUCAUCGAUUUGGAGGAGAAUACGGGUACCCUCCAGGGCACAGUAAAGACACUGCAGGAGGAGAACCAGCAGCUCCGGAAGGAGGUGGCAGAGUUGGGGACCCAACUCACCCAGGACAAGGCCAACAGCCAAAAGGAAGAGCUGGAGGGCGAACCCCCGUCUAACAUCGCCAACACCGUGAGGCCCUCCAGCGCCACACAGG